rnacentral:lncRNA from 1 species
GAAGCUCAGUGGCUGAAAGGCACCUCUCUUGCCCUCCUCCCUACCCUCUCAUCCCUCUCCACCGCCGCUGCAGCCACCUAAGCUGGGGCUGGCAGGACAGGAGGGACCUGCAGGUCCCUGGAAGCACUUUGGCGCAGGACUGAACAGCUCAACCCUUACCGCAAGCUGGGCAUGCAGCUGUGCUCCCUCUGUCCCUCUCGGAAGGGAGUGGCCUAGGCUUCUCCACUUACUCUUUCCUCCACCUGAGACUUUGGAACCCAGGUCGGUAUCCUCUGUGAGUUCCUGUCCCCAAGCCUGUGUGGGAGUCCAGCAUCAAGGGGACUGGUCCUCAGGAUCUCCUUUCCCAGCACUGAUUCAAGGCACCAAGUUGGAACAGACAGUCAUCUGGAGUCUCGGAGAGGGGCAAGCGGAAGAGGAGGGGCAGGUGGACCAGAACGUCCCUUCUGGUCAUCUUUUCCAAUCAGCAUGGUGA